GACGUAAGUUAAAUCGAUUCGUUCGUGGUCCAUCGGACGGCAGCACAUCAGAUCCCCUGGAAACGCACUGAUGGGUUGGCCCAAAGCCCAGUCCAAGGACCAAGAGGGAAAAGAAGAGCGCUGUCUCAGAAAAAGGCGCCAGAGGACAGGGUGUUAGACAAGUACGGCGGGAGAGAAAGAGAUUUCCCGCCAGGACCUGGAGGAGCUCACGUGCUGAUCUACUUCGUCAUUCCCAGGACCUGGAGCUCAAGCGCUGCUCUACUUUGGUUUGAUCAACUCCCCUAUUUCUCAUGGAAUUAAAUGGUUGAAUUUGAUCAAUUUCUCUAUUUGUCCACGGAAGAAGAAACUAUGAAAGAAACAGAGGUGGCAGAGGAGAUUAACAGAUCAAGCAAUGAUCCUCAUUUAAAUAGAGUUGUACUGCCAGGUUUGGUACCUCAUGUUGGCAUGGAAUUUACAAAUUCAGAUGAAGCUUGGGCAUUUUGGCUGAGCUAUUGUGGGCAGCAAGGCUUUGAGGUCAGAAAAAGGUAUACAAACAAAAGAGCAUCUGAUGGGAAAGUUACAUCAUGUAAAUUUGUUUGUGCAAAUGAGGGUCAUCGAUCACAAGACAAAAGGGACCAUUUAACAAAGUUGCCUCGAGCUGAAACUAGAACCGAUUGCCAAGUGCACAUGAGUGUUAAUGUGGACCGGAAAAAGGAAAAUCUCAAAGUGACUAAGCUGAUUUUGGAACACAAUCACACACUGCACCUGCCAGAAACUUUACAUUUAAUGGUGUCACAGAAGAAAAUUUCAGAGUUACAAGCUUUUGAAAUUGA